rnacentral:rRNA from 1 species
UGAGGAAUAUUGGUCAAUGGGCGAGAGCCUGAACCAGCCAAGUAGCGUGCAGGAUGACGGCCCUAUGGGUUGUAAACUGCUUUUAUGUGGGGAUAAAGUGCGUGACGUGUCAUGCAUUGCAGGUACCACAUGAAUAAGGACCGGCUAAUUCCGUGCCAGCAGCCGCGGUAAUACGGAAGGUCCGGGCGUUAUCCGGAUUUAUUGGGUUUAAAGGGAGCGUAGGCUGUCUAUUAAGCGUGUUGUGAAAUUUACCGGCUCAACCGGUGGCUUGCAGCGCGAACUGGUCGACUUGAGUAUGCAGGAGUAGGCGGAAUUCAUGGUGUAGCGGUGAAAUGCUUAGAUAUCAUGACGAACUCCGAUUGCGCAGGCAGCUUACUGUAGCAUAACUGACGCUGAUGCUCGAAAGUGCGGGUAUCAAACAGG